rnacentral:tRNA from 1 species
AGCUCUGGGGUGUUACAUGUUAGAUUGCAAAUCUAAAGAAGCAGACUAACCGUCUGCCGGGGCUU